UGAGUACGAGCUGCUACGGCAGCGAAGUGGGUGACGUCAAGCUUCCAAGAAAAGCCCUAUACCCGUUAAGGCAUGAUGGCCUGUACCCGAAACCGACACAGGUGGGGUGGUAGAGAAUACCGAGGGGCGCGAGAUAACUCUCUCUAAGGAACUCGGCAAAAUGGCCCCGUAACUUCGGGAGAAGGGGUGCCACCGCAAGGUGGUCGCAGUGAAGAGGCCCAGGCGACUGUUUACCAAAAACACAGGUCUCCGCUAAGUCGCAAGACGAUGUAUGGGGGCUGACGCCUGCCCAGUGCCGGAAGGUUAAGGAAGCUGGUCAGCGUAAGCGAAGCUAGCGACUGAAGCCCCGGUGAACGGCGGCCGUAACUAUAACGGUCCUAAGGUAGCGAAAUUCCUUGUCGGGUAAGUUCCGACCCGCACGAAAGGCGUAACGAUCUGGGCACUGUCUCGGAGAGAGGCUCGGCGAAAUAGGAUUGUCUGUGAAGAUACGGACUACCUGCACCUGGACAGAAAGACCCUAUGAAGCUUUACUGUAGCUUGGUAUUGUGCUCGGGCUCGGAAUGCGCAGGAUAGGUGGGAGGCUAUGAACCAUUGCUUGUGGGUGAUGGUGAGCCACUGGUGAGAUACCACUCUUUCCGAGCUAGAGUUCUAACAGCCACCCGUUAUCCGGGGGCUGGACAGUAUCAGGUGGGCAGUUUGACUGGGGCGGUCGCCUCCUAAAAGGUAACGGAGGCGCGCAAAGGUUUGCUCAGGCUGGUUGGAAAUCAGCCGACGAGUGUAAAAGCAGAAGCAAGCUUGACUGUGAGACCUACAAGUCGAACAGGGAGGAAACUCGGCUUUAGUGAUCCGACGGUUCUGCGUGGAAGGGCCGUCGCUCAACGGAUAAAAGUUACUCUAGGAUAACAGGCUGAUCUCCCCCAAGAGUUCACAUCGACGGGGAGGUUUGGCACCUCGAUGUCGGCUCAUCGCAACCUGGGGCUGAAGUCGGUCCCAAGGGUUGGGCUGUUCGCCCAUUAAAGCGGUACGCGAGCUGGGUUCAGAACGUCGUGAGACAGUUCGGUCCAUAUCCGGUGCAUGCGCAGGAAUAUUGAGAGGAUUUCUCCCUAGUACGAGAGGACCGGGAGGAACGCACCUCUGGUGUACCAGUUAUCGUGCCAACGGUAAACGCUGGGUAGCCAUGUGCGGAGAGGAUAACCGCUGAAAGCAUCUAAGUGGGAAGCCACCUCAAGAUGAGUAUUCCCAUGGGGUAACCCAGUAAGGUCACGGGAAGAACACCCGAUGAUAGGCUCUACGUGGAAGCGCAGUAAUGUGUGAAGCGGAGGAGUACUAAUAGACCGAGGGCUUGAC
rnacentral:rRNA from 1 species